rnacentral:rRNA from 1 species
GACGUAGGGGGCCAGCGUUGCUCGGAAUUACUGGGCGUAAAGGGUUCGUAGGCGGUGCGGCAAGUUCGGAGUGAAAUCUCCCGGCUCAACCGGGAGGCUGCUUCGGAAACUGCUGUGCUCGAGUCCGGGAGAGGCGCGUGGAAUUGCAGGUGUAGCGGUGAAAUGCGUAGAUAUCUGCAGGAACACCAGAGGCGAAAGCGGCGCGCUGGACCGGUACUGACGCUGAGGAACGAAAGCUAGGGGAGCAAACAGG